AACGAACGCUGGCGGCAUGCCUAACACAUGCAAGUCGAACGAGACCUUCGGGUCUAUUGUCGCACGGGUGCGUAACGCGUGGGAUUCUGCCCUUCUGGUGGGAAUAACUGAGAGAAAUUUCAGCUAAUACCUUAUAAUGUCUUCGGCCCAAAGAUUUAUCGCCGAGGGAUGAGCCCGCGUAGGAUUAGGUAGUUGGUUGGGUUAUGGCCUACCAAGCCGCCCAUCCUUAGCUGGUUUGAGAGGAUGGUCAGCCACACUGGGACUGGGACACGGCCCAGACUCCUACGGGAGGCAGGAGUGGGGAAUAUUGGACAACGGGCGAAAGCCUGAACCAGCAAUGCCGCGUGAGUGAUGAAAGCCUGAGGGAUGUAAAGCUCUAUUACCCGGGAAGAUAAUGACAGUACCGGGAGAAUAAGCCCCGGCUAACUCCGUG
rnacentral:rRNA from 1 species